rnacentral:lncRNA from 1 species
ACAGUAAUUUUAAUAUGUUUUGUAAUGCUGGCCAUCCUGCAGGCACUGCAGUGUUAAAGCACCCACAAGCCUAGCAGCAUUACUCAAUAGGGCUAACCAAUAAGUGUAUUCAGCAGCACAACUCGUCAUGUCUAUCAGGAGGCUCUCAUUACACUUUGGCAACUAUCCUCCUAUCGCUUGAGCCCAAUUUUGUCAACAUAAUACAAGCUUUAAGCAUAUGCACAA